rnacentral:lncRNA from 1 species
CCGGGAAUUAAAAUUUGUAACGAAGGGUUGUAUGUUUAUUUUUCCUUUUGGAGAAGAGGAAUGUAGAAGAAAAUUACAGGGCCAACUCUGUAUGAGUCUCCUGGUGCCCGACUCGACACGUGAGACUGAGUCAUCGGUCCAGGAGGAGGUGGCCCGCUCAGGCCAUGCGGUCACUCACUGGCCACAGCCAGCCAGAGCUGAGUGGUUCACUGUGCCCUGUGAUUUCUGGUUAGCCCCUGGAUAAAGGGUCUAUCCUGACUCGAGGCAAACUGGAUCUAGGUUCCUGCCUCGGGAAAUAAAUGCCAGAUUCAAUGUGGAGUCAUCUGACCAAGGCUGGGAAAGAAGUCAGAUGAGAGAGGUUCCUCUCGCCAUGAGUCUCCCCAUUCGGAACAUCUGUGUGCUCCAUGAUGACCAGAGCCAAGGAUCUCACCGUGGGAAUCUCCCAUUGUCUCUAACACGGGGCUGGGCACCUAACAGGUGCUCACUAAGCACACAUUGAUUUUUAGAAGGGAAAAAAGUACAUGUCACCUAAACCAGAAGAAAAUCCCCCAAUCAUGGAUAUUUGGAUUUGGAGUAUAUGUUUAUGAUUACAGUUGCCUUUUGGAACAAACUAUAGUACCAGGCUAGGGGAAUUGUCUUGUCUCUUCUUUCUUUUCUCUUUUUUUUUUGUGAGAUGGGGUCUUGCUCAGUCACCCAGGCUGGAGUACAGUGGCGUGAUCUCAGCUUGCUGCAAUCUCUGCCUCCUGGGUUCAAAUGAUUCUCAUGCCUCAGCCUCCUGAGUAGCUGGGACUACAGGCACUUGCCACCACGCCCAGCUAAUUUUUGUAUUUUUAGUACAGACAGGGUUUUACCAUGUUGGCAAGGCUGGUCUUGAACUCCUGACCUCAAGCAAUCCGCCCGCCUCAGCCUCCUACAUUGCUGGGAUUACAGCCAUGAGCCACUGCACCAGGCCUUGUCUAUUCUUUUUUUCUUAAGUUUGUGAUCAGAUUCCUACUUCCCCAGGGAGGAGGGGAAUAAUGUUCCUUAACUGGCUGAGUCAGUGCCAUGCUAGACUGCGGCUGCCGGCCACAUGUGGCUGUUUACAUUUAUACUAAAAUUACUUGAAAUGAAAUAAAAUUUAAAAUGCAGCUCCUCGGCUGCACUAGCCAUAUCUCGGGUGCUCAUGAGCCACAAGGCUGGGGGCUGCUGGACUGGAUGGUGCAGAGACCGCUUCCAUCACUGCAGAAAGCUCUUUGAGCCCAGUGGUUCUCAAGCAGGGGCAAUCUACCCCACCUCCCCUGGGCACAUGUGGCAAUGUCCAGAGACCCCGCGACUGGAGCGGGUGCUGUGGCAUGUAGAGGGUGGGGGCCAGGGAUGCAGCUGAAUAUCCUAUAAUGCAUAAGGUAGGCCCCCACAACAAAGAAUGGUCCAUCCCCAAAUGUUAAUAGUGCUGAGAUUGAGAAUCCUGUCCUGGCCUCCUGUGGUUCAGCCUAGCUGGGCAAGCAGAGGAGGCCGUAGAAGGAAGUAAGGGAAAAUAAUUUUACUUAGGAAUAAAAAUAUAGGCUGGGCACAGUGGCUCACGCCUAUAAUCCCAGUACUUUGGGAGGCUGAGGCAGGAGGAUUGCUUGAGCCUCGGAGUUCAAGACCAGCCUGGGCAACAUGGUGAGACUUCUUUACCAAAAAAUAAAAAAAUUAG